AAAAAAAUAUAACAUGUCCUAUUCUUGUCCGCGCUUUGCGGACAAGAAUAGGCAGUUAUAGUAAAGGCUGUACGUGCCGUUCCGCAGAUUGCAGAACGCACACGGAUGCCAUCCGUGUUUUGCGGAUCCGCGGUUUGCGGACCGCAAAACACAGAACGGUCAUGUGCAUGAGGCUUUAGGCUUUGUCCUCACAU